CGGAACAUGUCCUGUAGUGGGGGAUAGCCCGGCGAAAGCCGGAUUAAUACCGCAUACGAUCUGAGGAUGAAAGCGGGGGACCUUCGGGCCUCGCGCUAUAGGGUUGGCCGAUGGCUGAUUAGCUAGUUGGUGGGGUAAAGGCCUACCAAGGCGACGAUCAGUAGCUGGUCUGAGAGGACGACCAGCCACACUGGGACUGAAACACGGCCCAGACUCCUACGGGAGGCAGCAGUGGGGAAUUUUGGACAAUGGGCGAAAGCCUGAUCCAGCAAUGCCGCGUGUGUGAAGAAGGCCUUCGGGUUGUAAAGCACUUUUGUCCGGAAAGAAAUCCUUGGUUCUAAUAUAGCCGGGGGAUGACGGUACCGGAAGAAUAAGCACCGGCUAACUACGUGCCAGCAGCCGCGGUAAUACGUAGGGUGCAAGCGUUAAUCGGAAUUACUGGGCGUAAAGCGUGCGCAGGCGGUUUGCUAAGACCGAUGUGAAAUCCCCGGGCUCAACCUGGGAACUGCAUUGGUGACUGGCAGGCUAGAGUAUGGCAGANGGGGGUAGAAUUCCACGUGUAGCAGUGAAAUGCGUAGAGAUGUGGAGGAAUACCGAUGGC
rnacentral:rRNA from 1 species